rnacentral:rRNA from 1 species
GACGUAGGAUGCGAGCGUUGUCCGGAUUUAUUGGGCGUAAAGAGUUCGUAGGUGGUUCGUUAAGUCUGGUGUUAAAGACUGGGGCUCAACCCUAGAAGUGCAUUGGAUACUGGCGGACUGGAGUGCAGUAGAGGCAAGCGGAAUUCCCAGUGUAGCGGUGAAAUGCGUAGAUAUUGGGAAGAACACCGGUGGCGCAAGCGGCUUGCUGGGCUGUAACUGACGCUGAGGAACGAAAGCUAGGGGAGCGAAUGGG